AUUAUAUCCCUAUAAACGGCGCGUUCUGGCGUCAGAACGCGCCGUUUAUAAGCUUAAAGUGACAGCACUUGCAGCUGCUGCUCUCUCCCUGCAGCGUUCUCUCCACUCGUAACCCCCUCCCACCUGUCUUCCACACAUAACUCUCUUACUUUACAGGCGCGCUGCUUCUGUCUCUCUCAACUAUCGUUGCUCUUACUUUACUUUCAGGUCUCUCUCUCUCUCUCUCUCCCAGCUCCUCCGUCUCCGGUUUCCUCUUUCGCUCCGCCCACUCAUAAUGCCUCUCCUACGGAAUGCAUUUUAGGACAUGCUGCGCACAAAUACCUUUGCUGCAUGCGUUGUCCUAUGCCUAUAGCUCAUUCUCCUCCUCACAGUCUCUUGCUCCCCCUCCCACCAUGGCAAAAUCUCUCUCUCCCUCUCAUGUUCAGCUGCCCCUCCCAUCCUCCGUGUCCACAGUCUCACUCGUGUUGCUUUUCCUCAUGCUCCGUUUAAGGCAGAGCUGAUCAUCUCACCCAAGGCAGGUAAAACAAAAAAAAGCUAAACAAAAUCAAAUGGAAUACAAAUAAAAGGAACAAACAAGGGAGUACAGGCAAGCACAAAAAAAACAACAUUAAAUAAGGUGAACACACACAGGGGAAACAAACAGG